GCGCUAGUUCCGUGCUUCCUUACUUCCCAUAGUAUUUAAAUCGUAUGGAAUGUAAAGAAGUAUGGAGCUUCGCG
rnacentral:pre_miRNA from 1 species